UUUUUAGAUGAACAAAAAUUUUAUGUAUUCAGGAGCCAUAUACAUGUCGUUUUAGUUCAUGGCCAAUUCCGCAGAAGACCAGGCAAAAAAACGAGGAAUAACACUACAAAAAUGAAGAACACUGAAAGAACAACAAUGAUUUUAAGAACAAUGGAAACCAUAAAAACGAAGAGCAUUCGAAGGAACUACAAACAAAGAGUACUCAAAGAAACUACAAAAAAACGAAGAGCACUCAAAGAACAAUUUUAACAAUAUUGUUGUUCUUUAUAAUUAAACAAAGCACUAUAUAGAGAAAGACAUAACAGAUGCAAACUAUUCAAGAAAAACGAAAGCCAAACACACGUUGACAACAUUUUAUGUUACUUAUUAUGAGAUCAACUGGUAGCUUAAUUAGUUCUGCAUUCUUUGAAGAAUAGCACUCCUCACAAGUUCUUCGUUUGUCAGUCCAUCAGGAACUCUAGCCACAACAUCUUGAAGCACCAUCUCCUUGAUGCUUGACAUACUUGCGUGAUGAACUUUGAACUCCACUUCUCUAAGCGCAUCCAUUAACCUUGCAGCUGGGUAAUUAACAUCCGGGGACAGGAACCGUAUCAUGGCUUCUGAUCCUACAAUUUUCACUUCCAAUUCCAUUGCCUUGGCUUUGUAAGCUGAAGAGGACCUGAUGUGAUCAAUCAUGGAAUCGGUGCUCUGAUUGUCGGUGACGCUUGUAAUCUUGGAUUUCUUGGAUACUGCUUGUAGUUUGGACUCCAAUUCAUCAACCUUGGCCUUGAGCUCCUUGAUGUAAGUAACAGCAUCUGCUAGUAGAGAUGCUUUGUCCAUCUUUGACACAUUAGGAACGACAGAUCGGAGUGCAUAGAAUCUAUGAUUCAGCCUCUCUCUGCGCUGCCUCUCCGCUUCAACAUGGUUCAGAGUCAAUUCUUUGCCGUUCAGUUGGGUUCUUCCUCUUUUCUUGAGCCGAUCAGUAUUUCCAGCGGCGAAAUUGCCUUCAGAAUCAGAACGUGCCGAGUCAGAUGAUGAGCGGCCUUGACCUGUGGGAUCUUUCUUUUUGUCGCCUUCAUUUUGCUUCUCCGCAGAAGUGUCCUUUUGAGAAGCUGAAAACAUGCCAAUAUCAAGGAAAGAAGUAUUAGGAAUCUGAAGCUGUGACUCGUGGCUCGGCUCCUUUGAGACCAAGCAGGCUGAGUCUCCCCCGAACAGCGAUUUGCAGAGUUGCACUAGGCUCCAAUCUUUAUCGAUCGUAUUCGAGGAGCCCAAUUCAACAACUGCACAAGAGGUUGAAAUACAGACCAAAGUCUGUACCCCAUGCAUACGAGCCUCUUUAACUCUCUCACAAUCGUACAUCUGUAACUCAUUGUUACCCGUCAACCAAAUAAAAGCCCCGGAGCCAAAUGUCCUGCCAAGAAUUCCAUCAUCAAUAGCGAAAGAUCGUGUUACUGAUACUGUAUAAAACCAUUCGUAGUCAAUAGCAUCCACGUCUGCCAAUCUGUCCAUCUCCAUAUCAUCACUGAAAAGAGUCUGGGACUCUUUGUUAGUCAUCUUUCUUUCAAGAUUAAACCCGAAUUUGAGUUGGUUCUGCUUGCAGCAAGCUUUGGCUGCAAAUUCUUCGGUGCCACGGAAAUGGCCAUCACCCCACGAUAAAACAAGGCGUCCAGUGGCAUCCUUGGACGCCUGCCAGAAGAUGGCGUAGACCCACCAUUCAGGCCGGCUUUGGAGGAUGAACUGGAGGCGUUGUUGGAGUGGGGGAUAAGAGUCUUGACAAAAAGACAUGAAGGAGGAAGAUGAAGAUGGGGACGUUAACUCGUCCAUUGAUAUCUUCUGCAUGCACCUUAGUAUUUCAAUUUUGUAUGUUCUUUUCUGUUUUUUGGUUUAGCUAGAGAGUUUCCACAAUCUAUGGAAUUCCAGAAAGUUUGAGAGUUGGAGAGGGACAGGGUAAGAGGGAUAAAUGAGCGACGUUGGUUUACAAGUGAGACUUGGGGUUAUUUAAAGACAAAGGAAAUGAAAGCCUCUUAUUAUGUAGCAGAAAUUAUUAUAUAAUAAAGCAUUGAUUCUAUA
rnacentral:misc_RNA from 1 species